GGAUAACCUACCCUUAGGACUGGGAUAACCCUGGGAAACUGGGGAUAAUACUAGAUAGGCAAUUUUUCCUGGAAUGGUUUUUUGUUUAAAUGUUUUUUCGCCUAAGGAUGGGUCUGCGGCCGAUUAGGUAGUUGGUUAGGUAACGGCUUACCAAGCCAUUGAUCGGUACGGGUUGUGAGAGCAAGAGCCCGGAGAUGGAACCUGAGACAAGGUUCCAGGCCCUACGGGGUGCAGCAGGCGCGAAACCUCCGCAAUGUGAGAAAUCGCGACGGGGGGAUCCCAAGUGCCAUUCUUAACGGGAUGGCUUUUCAUUAGUGUAAAGAGCUUUUGGAAUAAGGGCUGGGCAAGACCGGUGCCAGCCGCCGCGGUAACACCGGCAGCUCUAGUGGUAGCAGUUUUUAUUGGGCCUAAAGCGUCCGUAGCCGGUUUAAUAAGUCUCUGGUGAAAUCCUGUAGCUUAACUGUGGGAAUUGCUGGAGAUACUAUUAGACUUGAGACCGGGAGAGGUUAGAGGUACUCCCAGGGUAGAGGUGAAAUUCUGUAAUCCUGGGAGGACCGCCUGUUGCGAAGGCGUCUAACUGGAACGGUUCUGACGGUGAGGGACGAAAGUUAGGGGCGCGAACCGGAUUAGAUACCCGGGUAGUCCUAACUGUAAACGAUGCGGACUUGGUGUUGGGGGUGGCUUUGAGCUGCUCCAGUGCCGAAAGGGAAGCUGUUAAGUCCGCCGCCUGGGAAGUACGGUCGCAAGACUGAAACUU
rnacentral:rRNA from 1 species